rnacentral:rRNA from 1 species
GAUGAACGCUAGCGGGAGGCCUAACACAUGCAAGCCGAGCGGUAUUUGUUCUUCGGAACAGAGAGAGCGGCGCACGGGUGCGGAACACGUGUGCAACCUGCCUUUAUCUGGGGGAUAGCCUUUCGAAAGGAAGAUUAAUACCCCAUAAUAUAUUGAGUGGCAUCAUUUGAUAUUGAAAACUCCGGUGGAUAGAGAUGGGCACGCGCAAGAUUAGAUAGUUGGUGAGGUAACGGCUCACCAAGUCAAUGAUCUUUAGGGGGCCUGAGAGGGUGAUCCCCCACACUGUACUGAGACACGGACCAGACUCCUACGGGAGGCAGCAGUGAGGAAUAUUGGACAAUGGGUUAGCGCCUGAUCCAGCCAUCCCGCGUGAAGGACGACGGCCCUAUGGGUUGUAAACUUCUUUUGUAUAGGGAUAAACCUACUCUCGUGAGAGUAGCUGAAGGUACUAUACGAAUAAGCACCGGCUAACUCCGUG